GACGAACCGUGCGAACGUUGUUCGGAAUCACUGGGCUUAAAGGGCGCGUAGGCGGGCUUACAAGUCCGGGGUGAAAGCCCCCAGCUCAACUGGGGAAGUGCCUUGGAUACUGUAAGCCUCGAGGGGGGUAGGGGCGUGCGGAACUUCCGGUGGAGCGGUGAAAUGCGUAGAUAUCGGAAGGAACACCGGUGGCGAAGGCGCUCUGCUAGGCCGCAACUGACACUGAGGGACGAAAGCUAGGGGAGCGAAUGGG
rnacentral:rRNA from 1 species